AAUAAGACUUUGUUGGUGACUAUAACUCUUGUUGGGCAUAAGUGCUCCCCUAGUUGAGUUGUCAAACUUGAGGGUUUUUUAUUAUUUGUGAAUGCUAGGAGUUCAUAUGUACAAGUUGUACCACUCGUCUUCUGGUAAGUGGAAUGAAUGGUGAGUUAUUUUCAUCACUUCGUUGGUGGUAUGAAUGUGAAUUCCUUCAUAACCUUUCAUCACAUUUCAUCACCUGGUUGGUGGCACGAGGAUGAGUUCCUUCUUCCCCUGGUUGGUGGCAUGAAUGGCAAGUUGCCAAAUGAUAUUAGAGUAUGGGUUAUACAUUUCAUCACCUGGUUGGUGGCAUGAAUGAGAGUACAGGUUGUACAUUUCAUCAUCUGGUUGGUGGCAUGAAGAUGAGUUCCUUCUUCACCUGGUUGGUGGCAUGAAAGA
rnacentral:lncRNA from 1 species